rnacentral:rRNA from 1 species
UACGUAGGGUGCAAGCGUUGUCCGGAAUUAUUGGGCGUAAAGAGCUCGUAGGCGGUUUGUUGCGUCGGCUGUGAAAUCCCGAGGCUCAACCUCGGGUCUGCAGUCGAUACGAGCAAACUAGAGUGUUGCAGGGGAGACUGGAAUUCCUGGUGUAGCGGUGAAAUGCGCAGAUAUCAGGAGGAACACCGGUGGCGAAGGCGGGUCUCUGGGCCGAUACUGACGCUGGAGGAGCGAAAGCGUUCGGGGAGCGAACAGG